rnacentral:rRNA from 1 species
UACAGAGGUCUCAAGCGUUGUUCGGAUUCAUUGGGCGUAAAGGGUGCGUAGGCGGCGCGGUAAGUCGGGUGUGAAAUCUCGGAGCUUAACUCCGAAACUGCAUUCGAUACUGCCGUGCUUGAGGACUGGAGAGGAGACUGGAAUUUACGGUGUAGCGGUGAAAUGCGCAGAUAUCGGGAAGAACACCCGUGGCUAAGGCGGCUCUCUAGUACGGUACUGACGCUGAGACGCGAAAGCGUGGGGAGCGAACAGG